CUAUCGGUGUUCGCCUAAGCCAUGCGAGUCAUAUGUAGCAAUACAUGGCGUACUGCUCAGUAACACGUGGAUAACCUGCCCUUGGGACCGGCAUAACCCCGGGAAACUGGGGAUAAUUCCGGAUAACGCAUAUUUGCUGGAAUGCUUUAUGCGUCAAAAGGAUUCGUCUGCCCAAGGAUGGGUCUGCGGCCUAUCAGGUAGUAGUGGGUGUAAUGUACCUACUAGCCAGCGACGGGUACGGGUUGUGAGAGCAAGAGCCCGGAGAUGGAUUCUGAGACAUGAAUCCAGGCCCUACGGGGCGCAGCAGGCGCGAAAACUUUACAAUGCGGGAAACCGUGAUAAGGGGACACCGAGUGCCAGCAUCAUAUGCUGGCUGUCCGGAUGUGUAAAAUACAUCCGUUAGCAAGGGCCGGGCAAGACCGGUGCCAGCCGCCGCGGUAACACCGGCGGCCCGAGUGGUGAUCGUGAUUAUUGGGUCUAAAGGGUCCGUAGCCGGUUUGGUCAGUCCUCCGGGAAAUCUGAUAGCUCAACUAUUAGGCUUUCGGGGGAUACUGCCAGACUUGGAACCGGGAGAGGUAAGAGGUACUACAGGGGUAGGAGUGAAAUCUUGUAAUCCCUGUGGGACCACCUGUGGCGAAGGCGUCUUACCAGAACGGGUUCGACGGUGAGGGACGAAAGCUGGGGGCACGAACCGGAUUAGAUACCCGGGUAGUCCCAGCCGUAAACGAUGCUCGCUAGGUGUCAGGCAUGGCGCGACCGUGUCUGGUGCCGCAGGGAAGCCGUGAAGCGAGCCACCUGGGAAGUACGGCCGCAAGGCUGAAACUUAAAGGAAUUGGCGGGGGAGCACAACAACGGGUGGAGCCUGCGGUUUAAUUGGACUCAACGCCGGACAACUCACCGGGGGCGACAGCAAUAUGUAGGCCAAGCUGAAGACUUUGCCUGAAUCGCUGAGAGGAGGUGCAUGGCCGUCGCCAGUUCGUACUGUGAAGCAUCCUGUUAAGUCAGG
rnacentral:rRNA from 1 species